rnacentral:rRNA from 1 species
CCUACGGGUGGCAGCAGUGGGGGAUAUUGGACAAUGGGGGAAACCCUGAUCCAGCGACGCCGCGUGAGUGAAGAAGUAUUUCGGUACGUAAAGCUCUAUCAGCAGGGAAGAAAGAAAUGACGGUACCUGAGUAAGAAGCCCCGGCUAACUACGUGCCAGCAGCCGCGGUAAUACGUAGGGGGCAAGCGUUAUCCGGAAUUACUGGGUGUAAAGGGAGCGUAGACGGUAAUGCAAGUCUGGAGUGAAAGGCGGGGGCCCACCCCCCGGACUGCUCUGGAAACUGUGUAACUGGAGUGCAGGAGAGGCAGGCGGAAUUCCUGGUGUAGCGGUGAAAUGCGUAGAUAUUAGGAGGAACACCAGUGGCGAAGGCGGCCUGCUGGACUGUAACUGACGUUGAGGCUCGAAAGCGUGGGGAGCAAACAGGAUUAGAUACCCUUGUAGUC